UACGGAGGGGGCUAGCGUUGUUCGGAAUUACUGGGCGUAAAGCGUACGUAGGCGGCUUUUUAAGUCAGAGGUGAAAGCCCGGGGCUCAACUCCGGAAUUGCCUUUGAAACUGGAGAGCUUGAACAUGGGAGAGGUGAGUGGAAUUCCGAGUGUAGAGGUGAAAUUCGUAGAUAUUCGGAGGAACACCAGUGGCGAAGGCGGCUCACUGGACCAUUGUUGACGCUGAGGUACGAAAGCGUGGGGAGCAAACAGG
rnacentral:rRNA from 1 species